GCAAUAGGGGUCUACCAUGCAGUCGAACGAGGAGUAUGUUGUAUACGUAUUGUUUGACGGCGAACGGGUGAGUAACACUUGGGUAAUCUGCCCUUGAGUUUGGGAUAACCCAACUCAAGCGGGGUUGAUAUAAAAUAAGAUCACGGGGACGAAAGUCUCUGGGGUGAAAGGUGGCCUCUAUUUAUUGGCUACCCCUUGGGGAUGAGCCCGGGGCCCAUUGGCUAGUUGGCGGGGUAAUGGCCCAACAGGGCUAUGAUGGGUAGCUGGUCUGAGAGGACCAUCAGCCGCACUGGAACUGAGACUCGGUCCGGACUCCUACGGGAGGAAUCUUGGGGGAAUAUUGAACACUGGGCGAAAGCCUGACGCAUGAACGCCGCGUGGGGGAUGAAGGUUCUCGGAUUGUCAACCCCUUUCGAUCGGAACGAAUCCCCUCCUGGUAAAUAAUCAAGACGGUCGACGGUACCGAGAGAAGAAGCCACGGGUAACUCUGUGCCAGAAUCCCCGGUAAUACAGAGGUGGCUAGCGUUGUUCCGAUUUAUAGGGCGUAUAGCGCACCUUAGCCGUUUGGUUACUCAGAAGUGAGAUUCCCCAGCUUAACUGCAGAACUGCCUUUGAUACUGCCUUUCUCGAGUGCAUGAGGGGGAUCCGGAAUUCCGGGUGUGGAGGUGAAAUUCCCUAGAUAUCCUGAGGAACACCUGAGGCGAAAGCGGCUUCCUGGCAUGUAACUGACGCUCACGUGCGAAAGCGUGGGUAACAAACAGGAUUAGAUACCCUGGUAGUCCACGCCCUAAACGAUGGGCACUAGGUGUGAGAGGUAUCGACUGCCUUCCGUGCCGCAGCUAACGCAUUACAGCCCCGCCUGGGGAGUACAGCCGCGCGGUUGAAACUCACAGCCAAUUAGACAU
rnacentral:rRNA from 1 species